ensembl:rRNA 5S_rRNA 5S ribosomal RNA
GCUAGGCAAUUGCUCUUCGGUCCUCUAAGCAAGGUCAGGCCUGGUUAGUGCUUGGGAUGGGAGACCACCGGGGAAUACCGGUUGCUGUCAGCU